rnacentral:rRNA from 1 species
GACGAACGCUGGCGGCGUGCUUAACACAUGCAAGUCGAACGGAAAGGCCCUGCUUUUGUGGGGUGCUCGAGUGGCGAACGGGUGAGUAACACGUGAGUAACCUGCCCUUGACUUUGGGAUAACUUCAGGAAACUGGGGCUAAUACCGGAUAGGAGCUCCUGCUGCAUGGUGGGGGUUGGAAAGUUUCGGCGGUUGGGGAUGGACUCGCGGCUUAUCAGCUUGUUGGUGGGGUAGUGGCUUACCAAGGCUUUGACGGGUAGCCGGCCUGAGAGGGUGACCGGCCACAUUGGGACUGAGAUGCGGCCCAGACUCCUACGGGAGGCAGCAGUGGGGAAUAUUGCACAAUGGGCGGAAGCCUAAUGCAGCCACGCCGCGUGCGGGAUGACGGCCUUCGGGUUGUAAACCGCUUUCGCCUGUGACGAAGCGUGAGUGACGGUAAUGGGUAAAGAAGCACCGGCUAACUACGUG